rfam:Trichophyton rubrum CBS 118892 genomic scaffold supercont2.11, whole genome shotgun sequence.
GGCCGCGUGGCCUAAUGGUUAAGGCGCUGGUUUUCGGUUUUGUCUUUAGAGACGAAAGUCUGUCCACCAGAGAUUGUGUGUUCAAAUCACACCGUGGUCG